CUUUUUCUACUUCAUCUAGCUGGUCUCGAAGCUGUUGACGGGCUAGUUCCUUGGCUUCUAAGGCUCUUUUGAUAGUAAGAAGAGAAUCUCUAUGCAAACUGUUCUGUUGAACCUGCUUUAGUUGGUCAUUGAGUAAUUGCUUUUCUGGAAUCAACUUUCCAAGCAUCUGCUGAGACUCCUGUAGCUGCUGUUGCAAAUGGGUGAUUUCUGCAAUUCUCAGUUCUCUAGAUUUAUUUGUACUUUCAAUUUCUUGUCUUUGGGUAGACAGCCGACAUCUGAUAUCCUGAAGCUUUCCUUCCAACUGAUUUUUUUUAUCAUUUAGAGCUUCCAGCUCAAAUUCUAAAGUCUUCUUCUUUGCCUUCAGAACAACGAUGUCCUCUUGUUCUCUGUUUCUUUGAUUUAGCAGUUCUUGCCGACGAUUACGUUCCCAUUCAAGUUGCCUUUGCCUCUCAAGUUCCCGUUUUGCAGCCUCUCUUCUUUCUAUUUCUUUCCUCCUUUCCUCUUCUCUCUGCCGUUCCAAUUCCCGUUGUUUCUCCAACUGUUUCUCUAGCUCCAGCUGUCUUUUCCUUUCUUGCUCUUGUCGUUCACGUUCCUUCCUUUCUUGCUCUGCCCGUUCCAGCUGUGCUAGACGCUCUUGCUCUUUGCGUUGCUGUUCCAGGAGAGCCUGCCUCCGUUUUUCAAGUUCUAGAUUGCCACGUUCAAAGUUCUCACGUUUUUUAUCUUCAAAUGUAACUGGCAAUUUCUUUUCCAGUUGCUGCUGUUCUUCUUCUAAUGCUGGUUCUUCUGGUAACCUUUGGUCUACAGAUACUGAACUUACAGCAGAUACACCACUACCAGAGCGUACUCUUCUGUCAAUGAAAGGAUAAUUCCAAGUUGUUUAAAAGAACAUAUGCCUGUCAAAUUUAUUGAUAAUUUAAUGAUGCAAUCAUAAAUUAAUUGCAAUGAUGUAAUGGUUAGUGAUAUUUAAUUCUCAUUGUCUGGAGUGUUUUACUCUGCAGUUGUCAUUAAGAUAAUA
rnacentral:lncRNA from 1 species